rnacentral:hammerhead_ribozyme from 1 species
ACACUGCUGAGGAGUCCUACAAUAGAACAAAACGGCCGUCCAGUAC